UGAUGAUGAUGAGGUCCGCAAAUCAACAACGACUUAAACCUAUCCUGGGCUUGGUACAAGUUCUCUCCACCCUUUUGCCAGAAACUAAAUAUAUCACUCCUCAAUUU